CAUUAAUAUCUCAUAUUUAUAUGAAUUAAAUAUAACCAUAUAACAGGAAACCUUCAAGAAAAAAAAUGAAAAGAAAACAAUUUAGCAUGUAAAUAGAUGCAUAUUCAUGUACAUAUUUUGCUAUCUCUCUCUCAGUACCUAUGAACCUGCAAUGGUUAUGAAAAUAAAGAUAUUGAUAUUGAGCCAUUAAGAUGAAUGAGACUCUUAUCACAGCUUGUUUGUUAGCUAUUUCAGCCCAGACAAGAUGGCUUAAAUUAAAACGUUUAACAAAUCUUAACAUUAACUGUGUUUGGAGUUUAAUAACAGAUUUAAAUUAAAGUUACUGAAGUUUAUAAUUAUCCAAUAAUUGGGAGAAUUCGGCUUAUCCAAGGGGCAUAACUUAGAAACAUAAUUAGGUAACAAAAAUUUUGAACUUCACUUGUUCCUAGUUUCUAUGCCAUCUGGCCUCUGGUAGAGUUGUGGUAAUGACAAUCAUACUGUAUCUUUUUUUUAUUUUUAUACUGUAUUCAGAAGUUAGAUAGUCUUGUAUUAAUAUUUCAUAGAAGUACAAAAAGGUAAAGUAAAAUAAAAUGCAUUACAAUAUUUUAUUGAACAGUAGAUAAAAAAUAAAAAUAAAUAAAACUAUUAAUUUUUCCCCAGCAAAAACUUUUUGCUGUUGAUUCUAAUGAUGAGGAUAGAUACAAACUGAGCUAAAAUAAUCUGUUUUACCCAUAUAAACUGGAUCUAGUUACUAAAAAUAAAACCUACUUAAUAACAUUAUAAUCACAUAAACAAAUACCCUGAUGAACAAAAUGAAGUUAUGACACUAUGUACUGUGAAUUCAUUAUAAUUCGUGGGAUACCAAUUUUCAUAGAUUUCAUAGGCAAAGAUGAACAUCAAAUUUAAAUAUUUAUUAAAAUGCAAAUUUUCUUCAGGCUUUUUUAAAGACUUUGCCAUACCAUAUAAACAAAUAUCUUAGAAAAUAUUGUUUUUCUUAAAUCCACGCCAAAAUUGGUACCCAUGAAAAUAGAAGCAGUAUGCCUUUCUUUCAAACAUCAUGUUGUCACCUCCAUGUGUUUCCUUGACAACAUAAAAUGUAAACAAUUCAUAGUGAAACAAUAACAAUUGAAUGCCACUUUGAUAAACAUAUUAUAUAUUCAUUUUAAAAGUAUAAAGAAAACCCCACUUUAUCUAAUUCAACUUUGGAUAACUUUCUAACAAUAAUAAC
rnacentral:lncRNA from 1 species